UAUGGAGGGGGCUAGCGUUGUUCGGAAUUACUGGGCGUAAAGCGUACGUAGGCGGCUUUGUAAGUUAGAGGUGAAAGCCCGGGGCUCAACUCCGGAAUUGCCUUUAAGACUGCAUCGCUUGAAUCAUGGAGAGGUGAGUGGAAUUCCGAGUGUAGAGGUGAAAUUCGUAGAUAUUCGGAAGAACACCAGUGGCGAAGGCGACUCACUGGACAUGUAUUGACGCUGAGGUACGAAAGCGUGGGGAGCAAACAGG
rnacentral:rRNA from 1 species